AGGAGGCGCUGAUCGACGCCGAGAGAGAGAGAGCUGCCGAUUAGUGCAGCUGCGGCGCGGCAAGACGCCGGAGAGAAGGCGCUAAGAGAGAGGGCUUCCGGUUAGUGCAGCGGCGGCGCGGCAAGACACCGGAGAAAAGGAGCUAAGAGAGAGGGCUGCCGGUUAGUGCAGCGACGGCGCAGCAAGAGGCCGGGGAGGACCAUGAAGGUCGGUGGCUGAUCUUCUUUGCCGGAGAGGGGCGGCAAGACGCCGGAGAGGGCUGCGGAUUAGUGCAGUGGCGGCGGAGAGGGUUUCGUUGGCGAUAAGCCACUGGCGCUGUGAUACCAUGUAGAGAGUUUUGGGAGAAGUUCAUUGGUUUGAGGCUUCUCACAAAAUAUAUUGCUUACAAAGGUAUAUAUAGACUACAGAGAGAAACCAAAUCCUACCAACUAUAGGACUGUACAAUAAACCAAAUCCUACCAACUAUAGGACUGCACAAUAAUAAAGGAAAUCAAAUCCUACCAACUAUAAGACUGUACAAUAUAUUCUAAUACUUUUUGGGUAAAACCCUUGAUAUUUGUCUUGAUCUUUUCAAGAAAACAACUUUUUCCAGUUUGUUCAGCUAGCUUCUGUUUGAUCAAUGAGCCUCUAUUUGGACUUCUAUUUGUUCUUUGGCUCUUUGCUUUUAUAUGUUGAGGUAAUUGGAAACUAACAAAACCUAGGAUUUAGAACGCUGUUUAGGAGAGAACGACAACAAGCAGAAAAUUCUCCUUGAUUCCUUGCAAUUAACGAAAGAGAUAGAAAGAUAGGGAGGAAGAGUUUUGGAGUGGGGGUGGGGGGAGGGUUUGGAGUUU
rnacentral:lncRNA from 1 species